AGAUUUAUCGGUUUCCUCUGGCCCGCGUUGAAUUAACUAGGUGGUGAGGGACAGGCGCACCUGGCGAGAUCCAUAUUUGGUCUGAGAGGAUGAUCACCCUCACUGGGACUGAGGCAGGGCCCAGACUCCUAAGGGAAACAGAGUGGGGAAUAUUGAACAAUGGGCGCAGCCUGAUCCAACCGUGCCGCGUGAGUGAUCCGGCCCUAGGGUUGUAAAGCUCUUUCACCGGCGAAUAUAAUGAGAGUGUUCGGAGAACAAACCCCGGUGUAACUUCGUGAAAACACCCGCGGUAAUACGAAGGGGGCUAGCGUUGUUCCGAUUUACUGGGCCCCCGGCGCACUUAGGCGGACUUUUAAGUCAGGGGUGAAAUCCCGGGGCUCACCCCCGAAUCUGUGUGUGAUACUGGAACUCUUGAGUAUGGUAGAGGUGAGUGUAAUUCGGAGUGGAUAGGUGAUGUUCCUAUAUGUUCAGAGGAACACUUGUGUGGAAAGCAGCUCAGUGGACCUUUACUGACUGCUGACGUGAUGCAGCGAGUCGUGGAGCACAACACGAGGAUGAUAUCCUCGUGAGUACUACACCGCCAUAAAACGAUGAAAGUGAUAUGCCGGUGGGGAGAUGAUACUUCUUUCGGUGGACGACAACUAACUGCAUUAAUACAUUCCGCCUGGGGAGUACGGUCGCAAGAUUAAAACUCAAAGGAAUUGACGGGGGCCCGCACAAGCGGUGGAGCAUGUGGUUUAAUUUGAAGCAACGCGCAGAACCUUACCAGCCCUUGACAUACCUGUCGCGGACACAGAGAUGUGUCUUUCAGUUUGGACAGACCGGACACAGGUGGCGCAUGGGUGUUCUCAGCUCGUGUCGUGAGAUGUUGGGUUAAGUCCCGCAAAGAGCGCACCCCUCGCCCUUAGUUGCCAGCAUUUAGUUGGGCACUUUAAGGGGACUCCGGGACUAAGCCGAGAGGAAGGUGGGGAUGGUCUCAAGUCCUCAUGCCCCUUACGGGGGGGUACACACACGUGCACAAUGCUGGUGACAGUGGGCAGAGAGCACGAGGGUGUGACAUAAUUU
rnacentral:rRNA from 1 species